rnacentral:rRNA from 1 species
GAUGAACGCUAGCGGCAGGCUUAACACAUGCAAGUCGAGGGGUAUAGUUCUUCGGAAUUAGAGACCGGCGCACGGGUGCGUAACGCGUAUGCAAUCUACCUUUCACAGAGGGAUAGCCCCAGAGAAAUUUGGAUUAAUACCUCAUAGUAUAGCAGUUUCGCAUGAAACCACUAUUAAAGUCACAACGGUGAAAGAUGAGCAUGCGUCCCAUUAGCUAGUUGGUAAGGUAACGGCUUACCAUGGCAAUGAUGGGUAGGGGUCCUGAGAGGGAGAUCCCCCACACUGGUACUGAGACACGGACCAGACUCCUACGGGAGGCAGCAGUGAGGAAUAUUGGACAAUGGGCGCAAGCCUGAUCCAGCCAUGCCGCGUGCAGGAUGACGGUCCUAUGGAUUGUAAACUGCUUUUGUACAGGAAGAACACUACUUCGUGAAGUAGCUUGACGGUACUGUAAGAAUAAGGACCGGGCUAACUCCGUGCCAG